rnacentral:rRNA from 1 species
GAUGAACGCUGGCGGCGUGCCUAAUACAUGCAAGUCGAGCGAACAGACGAGGAGCUUGCUCCUUCGACGUUAGCGGCGGACGGGUGAGUAACACGUAGGUAACCUACCUAUAAGACUGGGAUAACUUCGGGAAACCGUAGCUAAUACCGGAUAAUAUUUCGAACCGCAUGGUUCGAUAGUGAAAGAUGGCUUUGCUAUCACUUAUAGAUGGACCUGCGCCGUAUUAGCUAGUUGGUAAGGUAACGGCUUACCAAGGCAACGAUACGUAGCCGACCGGAGAGGGGGAUCGGCCACACUGGAACUGAGACACGGUCCAGACUCCUACGGGACGCAGCAGUAGGGAAUCUGCCGCAAUGGGCGAAAGCCUGACGGAGCAACGCCGCGUGAGUGAUGAAGGUCUUCGGAUCGUAAAACUCUGUUAUUAGGGAAGAACAAACGUGUAAGUAACUGUGCACGUCUUGACGGUACCUAAUCAGAAAGCCACGGCUAACUACGUG